UAGCACCUGAUGAUAAAACCACACUGAAACGUUGUUGUGUACUAUAUUUGAACACUUCGAUGUUACCCUAGGAUGGUCGCAUUCGCGAGGCAUUUGUCUGAUGCACAU
rnacentral:snoRNA from 1 species